UACGUAGGCGGAAAAUUAAGUCAGUAGUGAAAUCCUGCAGCUUAACUGUAGAACUGUUAUUGAUACUGGUUUUCUUGAAUAUAGUUGAGGUAGGCGGAAUGUGUAAUGUAGCGGUGAAAUGCUUAGAUAUUACACAGGACACCGAUUGCGAAGGCAGCUUACUAAGCUAUGAUUGACGCUGAGGUACGAAAGCGUGGGGAGCGAACAGGAUUAGAUACCCUGGUAGUCC
rnacentral:rRNA from 1 species